rnacentral:rRNA from 1 species
AACGAACGCUGGCGGCAUGCCUAACACAUGCAAGUCGAACGAGACCUUCGGGUCUAGUGGCGCACGGGUGCGUAACGCGUGGGAAUCUGCCCUUAGGUUCGGAAUAACUCAGGGAAACUUGAGCUAAUACCGGAUGAUGUCUUCGGACCAAAGAUUUAUCGCCUAGGGAUGAGCCCGCGUAGGAUUAGCUAGUUGGUGAGGUAGAGGCUCACCAAGGCGACGAUCCUUAGCUGGUCUGAGAGGAUGAUCAGCCACACUGGGACUGAGACACGGCCCAGACUCCUACGGGAGGCAGCAGUGGGGAAUAUUGGACAAUGGGCGAAAGCCUGAUCCAGCAAUGCCGCGUGAGUGAUGAAGGCCUUAGGGUUGUAAAGCUCUUUUGCCCGGGAUGAUAAUGACAGUACCGGGAGAAUAAGCCCCGGCUAACUCCGUGCCAGCAGCCGCCGUAACAC